AUGGUCCAACUACAGAACUUCUUCUUUUUCAUUACUUCCAUGGUCGUGCCCCGUGGCACGGCAGCACCCGUACUAUUGAAAUGGUUCGUCAGUAGAGAUGUUCCCACUGGUGCCUCUUCUUCCAAUGGUACUAUAAUUCCUAUUCCUAUCCCUUUAUUCCCUUUUUUGGUCUAUCUACAUUUAAGGAAAUUCAUACGCUCCAUGGACAGAGCAAAAAGUGGAGUGUUGGUCAAAGCAAGCCGCCCUAUUCUAUUACCAGACAAAAUGGAGAGAAGCUCAUCCGCUAGAAAUGCUUUAUUUCGUUUCGUUCCCGUUCUUCAUUUCCUUAUUAUCGAAUCCAUGGGGGACUUGUCAUAUUUAGAAUCUUUCUGCGGUCUGCUCUGUUUACAAUUCUUUCGUACUCUCUUCUCUUUACCACGCGAUAGGUCAGCGAAGCGUGAGCGGGCGCUCCGAAGUAAAGGCCAAACACUUCGGCCUAAGGGGAAUGAGCAACAAAAUGACAAGAUGAGGUGCCCCGGGCACCCCCAUAUAGAAAGAAGGGUCGAAGGUUUUGGGCCUGUAGCUUUCCCCGCCCCCCCCCCUCGUCGAGUGGUGCUUGUUUGGGGGGUGUGCCACCAGAAAGCAGGCUUGAAGCUCUCGCCUUACCAACGAGCCGACUGCUGA
rnacentral:rRNA from 1 species